CUUUCCACACGAUUACGUUCUACGGAAAC
rfam:Euryarchaeota archaeon 55_53 PW_scaffold_406, whole genome shotgun sequence.